rnacentral:rRNA from 1 species
AAAGGAAUAGACGGGGGCUCACACAAGCGGUGGAGCAUGUGGCUUAAUUCGAAGCAACGCGAAGAACCUUAUCCUGGGUUUGACAUGCACGGAUUAGCUCUGUGAAAGCAGAGUGACGCUCUUUGAGUGGAACGUGCACAGGUGCUGCAUGGCUGUCGUCAGCUCGUGCUGUGAAGUGUCGGGUUAAGUCCCUUAACGAGCGCAACCCCUAUCGCCAGUUGCUAACAGGUUAUGCUGAGGACUCUGGUGAGACUGCCGGUGUUAAACCGGAGGAAGGUGGGGACGACGUCAAGUCCGCAUGGCCUUUAUGCCCAGGGCUGCACACGUGCUACAAUGGCAUGUACAAUACGACGCAAGACCGUAAGGUGGAGCAAAUCGUUAAAACAUGCCCCAGUUCGGAUUGAGGGCUGCAACUCGCCCUCAUGAAGGUGGAAUCGCUAGUAAUCGCGGAUCAGCUACGCCGCGGUGAAUACGUUCCUGAGCCUUGCACACACCGCCCGU